rnacentral:lncRNA from 1 species
UUAAAACUAAGAAUGAUUGAUUUGCGAUUUUUCAUAGAAGAAGAAAAAUGAUUGAAGAAGAAGUAGGAAGAUUGAAAAUUAUUCAUAGGGAAACACAGUAUGUUUUGAGACAAACCAAACUAACAUAAACAUUUAAAAAAAGAGAGUAAACGAAUUUACGUGGUAAGAUUUAGAACCCGAAAACUGCAUAAAAUAAAAAAAACAAUUUUAAACAAAAUAAUUAAUUUUACAAUGACUAUAGGCUUGUAAAAGUAUGAAGAAGCAAAACAAACCAACAUUAAAAUGUAUUUGAAGCAGCCCCCCCUUGAAGGUUUUUUAUGAAUAUACAGGCCCAUAGCCAGGACUUUCCAAAGGGGGGGGGGAGGUUUGGACUCACAAACUCGACUUUAACAGUCAAAUUUCGAACAAAACGUUAACUUGAACAGUGCUUAUUUGUUUUCAAGGGAGGGAGGGGGUCGUCCGAACCCCCUAUGGCUAUGGGUAUACUAUAAGAGCUAUAUUGCACGUAAAACCCCCAUGGGCAUUUUCAAACCUUGGCAGGUAUGUUUAUAAUGUUUUAAAGAUAUUUAGUAUGCAGUUAUGUGUCCUCAUGUAUCUCAUUUACAAUUGUAUCAACUUUGGCCCUUAGGCACAUAUGGGUAUAUGAUACAGAUAUUUUUUUUUAUUUUUUUUUGUUGUGGAAUAAGAUAUUCAAUUUUCUAUAUUUAUAAUACAUGUCCAUCACUUCUGUGCAUGUCUUACCUAGUUUCGAGUGAUUUAAACGACUCAGAGAAAAUACCCAGUUUAUCUAUAGAUGCAUAUCAUUAACGCAGCAACCAUUUAAUUUUCUGGGGGGGGGGGGGGGGGGGGGGGGGGGGGGGGGGGGGGCUAUGUUUUUUUUUCUGUGCAAACUUAUUUUUUUGCCUUCGGCGAAGAACAAUCUAUUUUUUAAGCGAAAAACCGAGAAAAAAAUUUUCUUUCAACUUUAGCAUUACAUAUAGUGGCAGCUAAGAGUGAUACAAACAAUUUUUUUCUCAGGGUCCAAAACAAAUUAUUUUUUCACCAAAACCUGGAAACAAACUUUUUUUUUUCCAAAAAAAACAUAGCCCCCCCCCCCCCCCGAAAAUCAAAAGAUUGCUGCCAAAACAAAGGACAACAAAGUAUGGAUAGUAAAACUGGGUAUUUUCUCUGAGUCAUUUUAAAUCACUCAAAACUAGGUGAGACACAGAAGUGGUAGAUAUGUAUUAUAAAUAUAGAAAAUUGAAUAUUUUAUUCCAAAAAAAAAAAUCUGUAUCAUACAUGUAUACAAAAGCGCCUGUGCUUUGGUCCUGUGUAAGAACUUUUGAUGCCCCACCUUGUUUCAUUGUUUUUCGGUCUGUGUGAUAAUUAUAAUAUAGUGCGAGUGGGCAUCCAUGUACAAUACUUUGGAUACAUUCUUGUUUUAUGAUUAAAUGAGUUGAACAGGACUGUUACUAUCAUAAGUGUAGUGCAAGUAUCAAGUUUUUUUUUAGCUCACCUGGCUUUUGUCGUACGUCGUAGUCUGUUAAGUUUUACAAAAACCUUCCUACUUGGCCACAUUUAUCCAAACUUAGUCACAAUCAUCAGUGCCAGUAUUUAGUUUAUUUUGAAAGGCUAGGUCAUCAGACACAUUUAAAAAAAAAACCAGCCUGCCAACCAAGAUGACCAACGUAGCUAAAAUUGAACAUUGGGAUAAAGUUCAAGUUUUGUCUAUUACUUUGAAAUAUAAGAAGAAAAAAUCUGAUGUUCAGAAUGUUGUCUGUUCAGCUCUACUCAGUCAGUGGUGAAUCCAGAAAUUUUCAUAAGUGGGCUUGCUGCCUAAGAGGGGGCCCACUUCUGUCACAUGUCAGUGAUUCCCUAUAUAACCAACCAAAAUCCCCCCCUAAAUUCGCCUCUGCUACUAAUUGUGACGCAUAUAAUUUAAUACUGUCAGAAGACUUUUUAUCUUGGAGUUAUUGCUUUUAAGGAUGUUUACUACUCUGUUUCAAAAUAUUUUUUUUUUAAAGGAACUGAAAAAAACAGUAAAAAUGAAGGGUUCAUGUGCUUGUUUUUAAGAUAUAAGCCAUGGAAAAUUUAGUGGGAAGUGAUUCUCUCUAGAUUUUUCAUACAUUUAUAAACAUUGACAUCUUUAUUAUUUAAAAUACAAUGAACAAAAAUUUUAAUGGCACUGCAUUUUUUAAACAGCUACGACGGUAUCAAAAUUUGUACAUUUUUGUUGUGUUAUUUUUUGUCAAUUAUUUGUUUAACUUCCAAAUGUUCGAGUCAAAUGAAGACUUUUGUAACAUGUUUUUUUUUGUGUUUUUGUACGAAGUGGGAGCUUUUAAAAUCACGGAGAUUUUGUCCAUAUAUAAGUAUUUGUAUUGAGCAAAGUAAAUAUAAAAAUAAGGAGAUGUGGUAUGAUUGCUGAUUAGACAACUAUUCACCAAAGUGUAAAUGGAAGUGGAUGUAAUAAAUUUUGUAAAGUUCAAAUGAAGUGGAUAUAUAUAAAAAAGAAGAUGUGGUAUGAUUGCCAAUGAGACAACUAUCCACAAAAGACCAAAAUGACACAAACAUUAACAACUGUAGGUCACCAUACGGCCUUCAACAAUGAGCAAAGCCCAUACCGCAUAGUCAGCUAUAAAAGGCCUCGAUAAGACAAUGUAAAACAAUUCAAACGAGAAAACUAACAGCCUUAUUUAAGUUAAAAAAUUAAAGAAAAUUGUACAUUUGUAAGCAAAGAUAUAUUAGAAAAAACCAACAUAAUCAUAAACACAAUACUAAUAACUAUAUCAUGUGGAGUUAGUCUAAACAUAUCAAAAUAAUGAUUCAUACUUUUGAAUUUCAAACUUAGUCAUAUUAAAUCUGGUCAGAAAAAAAGGAAUCCCAAAUGAUGUUUCUUCUUAGGGACGACAUCAAAAGAUCGAUGUAGGAUAAAAAACUUAAAUCAAAUAGUUUGGAGGUGGGGGGGGGGGGGGGGGGGGGGGGGGGGGGGGGGAUAACAUUGCUGCAAGUUUUGUUAAUUUAAAAUCGAUUUUACAUAUAUAUCCAUAUAGGUAAAUCAAUUUUUCCCAAAUUAAGUUAAGAGGGGGGUGUGGGGGUCAGUGAAAAAACUAUGUGAAUUAAUUUUUUUAUCCUUCAUUGAACUUUUGAUGUCGUCCCUUAUUUGAGAGAUGGACCAAAGUUAUUGAUGAAAAACAGAAAUUUGAUAUCCAAAUAUUGUUUCAAAAAGUUACCAUCAUGCAUGUAUGAUCAUUAAAAAAGCUGAUAAUGUCUUUUCGUAUUUAUUAAAAUUAAUUUACCUAAUUUAUAAUUUCAGCUUUUCCAUGCAUUGUAAGAUUUCCAGAAUAUAGAACAUGUAGUUCCUGAUAAAAAAAAACCACCAAAAGAUUGCUACGAUAAAACUGUUGUAACUAUUUGUAAUACAGAAUGCAUCAAGAUGGUGGUAUGCUACAUAUAUAAUAUUGAUACUAUGACAGAUGAGAAAAGAAACUGAAGACAUAACCAAAUGCUGAAGUCAGCAAAGGUAUGAUUAUAACUGUUACUGAUGUUUGAAGAAGUGUGUCAUUAUAGCAUCUACAAAUAUUUCAAUCAAACAUGGUUCAGUACUUCAGACUAGUUUUAAUUUAAAAGAAUUAAAUGGCUACUUAACUUAAUAUUUUUACAAAAUGAAUAUUAAACUACGAUUCAAUAGUUUCUUUCUUAAACAUACAGCAUGGAGUUGCAUUUUUGCAUUCUAAACAGAGUAAUGUAUUUUCACAUCCGUUGCUAUAGCUUAUUAACUUCCUGUUAUCUUAUGAUUGGGUAACCUGUAUCAUAAUCAGGGGUGAAUCAAGCCAUUUCUAAAAGGGGGAUAUGUCCCAUUCAAAUGCAUUGAUCGUUAAAAAAAGGGGGGUUCAACCCCCCCCCCCCCCCCGCCCCCCCCCCCAGAACCAUCUGCCUGGAGACACCACUGAUAUGUGAGAAAUAGCCACAUUAGAUGUUGUUGAUAUCAAAUCAAAAUUAAGAAGCUACUGUAAUCUACAUGUAUAUAUGUUUAUCUACUCUCCAUUGUCUACUGUCACCUUGAUUAGUAAAUAAAUAAAAAUCAUGUUGUUACAAAAAUGUACAUGUAUAUAUUUUUAAGGAACUAACUGUGGUAUAAUCUUCAUUUGGAAACAUGCAACAUAAGUUCAAUCUGACAUGAUCAUAAAGCAGGCAAGACUUUUCAGUAUGUACACUUUUGUAAAAAACAUGUGAAACUAUAAUUAUUAAAGCAUAUUUUUUGUUUUGUUUUUUCAGAUUAAGAUAUAAGGAGGAGAUAUUUUCCUGAAGAUUUAAUUAAUGUCUGCAAAGAUAAUGUGAAUGGAACAGAAGCUAUCAUUCUUUAAAGAAAAGAUACAGAAACACAAGCUCCUGUAGACACUCAUGAAAAGGAAGAUGCUUUUGCAAUAUGUGCUAAUGUGAUAAAUUAUGACAAAUCAAUGAAACAACAAUAUAUUCUACAAAUUUCCUAGUUUUAUAACAUUUAAUUGAGGCACCAAUUAAAUCACCAAUUUUUCUAUUUGUAAAGGGGCAUAACUUUAGAAGGAUGAAAGUGACGCCACCAAAAUUUAAAUUUGUUCUGUGUCUUGUGGUAAUUAGCAUUGAGCAUCAAUUUAUUAACAUUUGGUUAAGGCAAACUUAAGUUAGAGAACGGAAACCAUUUUUGGGAUUUACAGACGUACUUACAUACGUACAGAUGGACAAGGGUAAAACUUGAUGCCCCCUCUGAUUAAAACUUUAAUUAAAUGAUUAACAAAUUAACAAAUCAGGUUGUGCUGAGGUAGCUCAUGAAAUCUGUUUAAAUUAUUGAGCCACAUAUGUUUUUGUAGUUUUUAUCACUACUUUUUAGCUCACCUGGCCUAAAAGGCCAA